UCUCUGAGACUUGGCUUGCCAUGCAAAGUUUCACUUAUCAGAACCCACAACUCCCCAUCAGCUUGGAUUCCACACACUCUUUUUGAAGAAGAAAUCUACUUGCCAGUUUGAACUGCCUCUGGGCUUCCCAAGGAACCUCCUCUAGAAGAAGGAGCUCUUCUCUAGUUCUGUCACGUUUCUGCAGCAAAAUACUUUGCCAAAGUCUCAACAGAAGGGUCUAUGCUAGGCUGAUGGUAGGACUCGUGAGAAAAACAAAUAGCAACCACAGUACCAAGUGUUGUGUUAGCUAUGAAGGAAGCUCCAAUGCUGCAGAAACCAAGGGCCAACGAUCCAUAACAGUGUUGCUGUUUAAAAUGUGCUACAAGCUCCUUGAGCUCAGCUAAUAAAGGCCACAGAAUGAAAGAAAGUUAAAUAUGAAUGUAAGAGGAGACCUAAAUGAAGGGCUAGCUUGUACAUCUCACAGAUGACCUUCUGGAAAUGAGCAAGUGGAAAAUCCUUUUUAAAGCAAAUGGGAAUAGCUCUAUGAGAAGAAGCCGUUUGCUCUGUCCUUUCCCCAAGACUAAUGAAGAGCCACUCAACAUCUUCUUCCCACCUCUGUGGCAAUUGGGUAUCAUCCUUCCUUGCCUUGCAGAGGAGCAAGUGCCGAGUAGGCAGCUACCCCAAAACGCAUUGAACAGAGGAACACAGCAGUCCGAAUAACAGUCUGCAUAUUCUCAUUUUACCAGAGUAUUCCUACGUCUCCUAUGAUACCUGCUGUUCAUAAAAUGUUACCUCAAGAUACCUGGAAUAACCC
rnacentral:lncRNA from 1 species